GAGGGUAUAGCUCAGUGGUAGAGUGCAUGCUUAGCAUACACAAGGCCCUGGGUUCAAUCUCCAGUACCUCCA
rnacentral:tRNA from 1 species